GAUGAAGAACGUAGCGAAAUGCGAUAAGUAGUGUGAAUUGCAGAAUUCAGUGAAUCAUCGAAUCUUUGAACGCACAUUGCGCCCUUCGGUAUUCCGUAGGGCAUGCCUGUUCGAGCGUCAUUUAAACCUUCAAGCUCUGCUUGGUGUUGGGUGUCUGUCUCGCCUCCGUGCGUGGACUCGCCUUAAAGACAUUGGCAGCCAGUGUAUUGGUCUUGAAGCGCAGCACAUUUUGCGACUCUUGCUGAUUAUCACUUGCAUCCAGUAAGCCUAUUUUAACACUUUUGACCUCGGAUCAGGUAGGGAUACCCGCUGAACUUAAGCAUAUCAAUAAGCGGAGGA
rnacentral:misc_RNA from 1 species